GCUAGGUUAUUGCGCCCCUAAACCAACGUACUGACAACGCUACCUCCCCGGAACUCAAACUUUAACUGAACAGUGAUCACGGGCUGUGGGAAUUGCGAAGGGAUGGUGUAGAGUAUCGCCACAACAAUGUUGAUAUGAUCACUCGUCGUUUCAGCGGGCAUGACUUGGUACAUCCAGUGACCCAGCAAGUAGCCUCGGUACAGCCAGAAGUAGCAACAAAUCGCAAAAGGGGAUCCUUGUCUGACUGGUGGCUGGACCACAAUGACACUUGUUGGAAAAGGAAGGACCAAAGGUGCCAUCGUCGAGGGCCCAGAUAGAUGAAGAGAUUGAAGCCUGGGCUGCACACAAUCCUAAAAUCUAGGAAGAAGUCGCCACCCACUGAUGAUCUCAUCCAAGUUUACCAAAGACUCCAAAGCAGUGUAGGAGAGGAAUGGUGGCCUGUUCGAACAGGCAUGGAUUGAAUCGCCAGCUCUCAUCUCCCUAGUCACUCCGAUGGCCACGUGUCGCUCCUCGAUCAACAGCGAUUUCAAUGAAUGAUGCCAGUCCUCGUUUGAUUUUUAGCCGUAGCACUAGCAGCCAAUAGCUGGUCUCAAAUCAUCCACAACAAUCAACAGAACAUUGGGUUUCUGGGAAUGUGCGAUACCUGAAACAAAUGCCAACACAACCGAGAUGAAAGUGGAUACAGAAUUGUGACAAAGAUACUGAUGAUAACAUCACACAUGCCAAUGGAGUAUUUAAUUGUGCUGGCUCCUCAAUUAGAAAUUACUCGAAGAGAAAUUUAUCCAAGAGACAUCUCCAAUAAUCAUAUGGGCAGUCUCAUCAGUCAGUCGGUCCUAAAGACAUUUCUAAUAAACAUGGGGACAAUCUCUUCCGAGUGGUAAUCUGUCCAAUUGACCACGACCAAGUAUCUGAUUUAUAGUAGGGGCCUAUAUGUAGACUAGGCCUGUGGUCUGCUGGUAUGACCCAUAUUUUGGGUAUUGUAAAAUUGUUAUGACAAAUAUAUUAAAAAACUCUUACAUAAGAAUAUUAA